rnacentral:rRNA from 1 species
GACGAACGCUGGCGGCGUGCUUAACACAUGCAAGUCGAACGGAAAGGCCCUGCUUUUGCGGGGUGCUCGAGUGGCGAACGGGUGAGUAACCCGUGAGUCACCUGCCCUUGACUUUGUGAUAACUUCAGGAAACUGGGGCUAAUACCGGAUAGGAGCUCCUGCUGCAUGGUGGGGGUUGGAAAGUUUCGGCGGUUGGGGAUGGACUCGCGGCUUACUAGCUUGUUGGUGGGUUAGUGGCUUACCCAGGCUUCGACGGGUAGCCGGCAUGAGAGGGUGACCGGCCUCAUUGCGACUGAGAUACGGACCAGACUCCUACGGGAGGCAGCAGUGGAGAAUAUUGCACAAUGGGCGGAAGCCUGAUGCAGCAACGCCGCGUGCGGGAUGACGGCCUUCGGGUUGUAAACCGCUUUCACCUGUGACGAAGCGUGAGUGACGGUAAUAGGUAAAGAAGCACCGGCUAACUACGUG